rnacentral:rRNA from 1 species
UUGAUUAUUACAAUUUUAUUCGCCAGGGAACUACGAGCGUCAGCUUAAAACCCAAAGGACUUGGCGGUGCCCUACACCUCCUAGAGGAGCCUGUUCUAUAAUCGAUGAUCCACGAUACACCUCACCGUUUCUUGCCAAAACCGCCUAUAUACCGCCGUCUCCAACUUACCCUAUGAAGGAUUUACAGUAAGUUCAAAGAUCACUCAUCAGAACGUCAGGUCAAGGUGUAGCGAAUGAAACGGGAAGAAAUGGGCUACAUUUUCUAUUUUAGAUCACACGGACAGUCAGUAUGAAACCUGAUUAUGAAGGAGGAUUUAGCAGUAAAAAGAAAUCAGCAAGUUCUUUUUAAGUCGGACCUAGGGCGCGUACACACCGCCCGUCA